CACAGUGCAUCCGGUCGAACUUCCCCCAUUAUGUAAUUUUAUGGAGGUAGUUUUGUAAAUUGGAUUGAAACAGGGGCUAUUCAAUGUGUAUGCAUUAAAAUAUAGGGAUUGUUUUUCAAUUAAAUAUAAAUCGAUUGAGCCUCUGAUGUGCUAGUAAGCAUCAGAUCUCCUCUGUGUAUAUAUAGUUAGGUACUCUUCUUUUUUUUAUAGGUUCCGUCAUAUAUAUCACGGUCUGAAGUUGUAGCUAAACUUGCUUUCAUCUUCAGUUUCUAUCACUAUUUAAAGGUUUUCAUCAUUAUUCAUUUGGUGGCUAAAUAUUACUCAUGGGACGUUUCUAGAGAAUGCAAGACCAUGUUUGAGUGAGAAAUUGGUCUCGAUGAAAUUGAGAGUUCAAUGAACAGCACAUACAAUGCAAGUAAAUCUACCUACUCAAACCCAUCUUCUAUUUCUAAAGCAGAAGGGCUUUCGGUGGCUGAAACAAGUGAGUGAUUAAGUUUUU